CGGCUGGUGCAUAUAGAAAUGAGAAUGAAGAAGAAGAAGAAGAAGAAGAAGAAGAGACAACGAAUGGAAAUGUAUCGGACAGAAGCAAUAGCCAUUGGAUGGGUGGCGCUUCUCUGAGUGAUCUGUGUUGUGGGUACUAAGGAGACAAUGUCUGAAACGGAAGGUGGAGCUUCUCUUCAGUCAAGAGUCUUUAGUCAACGAGAACAUAGUUUUUUCACCCCCUUACAUCAUGAGCUUCCUGUCCGUGCUUGGACUUUUUACCUCCGUGCACGGACUUUUUACCUCCGUGUCAUUUGGUUCAGAAAAAUAUUAGGACGGACCUCUUACACGAAAUAGCUUCUCCGAACUAGGUGGAGGGACUAGACCACCGCCAUUCUAAAUUCAUUGAAUUGAAUUUACUGAUUCAGAUUUUAGAAGGGGUGGCCUUUAAAGGUUGAAAUGAAUUAUUCUCUCUUAUAGAGAAAAAGAAGGGGGAAAAAAACUAAGUGAGUACUAGACUAAUUGGAUCAUUCUUCCACUCCUAUGGACCAAAAUCUGGUCAUGUUAAUUUUUGGGCUACAACUAGAUUAAACAUGAUUAGAGGUUGCCUAAUCUAGUCCUUUCUAUGAAAGAAACCAAACUUUGGAUUAGGCUAAAGUCUAAUCUUGCUCAGUUCUUUGUGCAGCCCUAAUCAAAACUAUACUCCACAUGUUGGACAUCUAGUGGGAAGCUUCCGUGAUUACUAAAAAAUGCAGGUUGCAGGGGAAAUGGGAGACAGAAAGAGUUGCUGUUAAUCAUAAGAACAAUGGAAGCCAUGGUUGGUCUACAAGGAGCCUUUUCUUGGACACAAAGUAAGCCAACGUGAAUGCAUCUCAUUGUUUCGUUUCUUGAACCAUCUUUUAAUGUGGAGUCUGCAAUAUCAAAGGCAGUGUCUCUCAUCCAGCUUUUCCAUGCCUGCAUGAAGUUGCUUAAUUAGUUCAAAGCUUUUCAAUUA